AGCAUCUUGGCGCAGCGGAAGCGUAUGUUAAUACAUCUGACUCAACUGAUAUGAUUUGAAGCUAACAAUAAACAGGCGCCGGGCUCAUAACCCGGAGGACCCUUGAUCGAAACGAGGAGAUGCUA